rnacentral:snRNA from 1 species
ACGCGGAUUACGGUGGCGGC